rnacentral:rRNA from 1 species
CACGCCCUAAACGAUGCGAACUGGAUGUUGGUCUCAACUCGGAGAUCAGUGUCGAAGCUAACGCGUUAAGUUCGCCGCCUGGGGANCAACGCGAAGAACCUUACCUGGCCUUGACAUGUCCGGAAUCCUGCAGAGAUGCGGGAGUGCCUUCGGGAAUCGGAACACAGGUGC